UGAUGGCGAAACUGCAAAAGCUUCAGGCUGCA
rnacentral:piRNA from 1 species